rnacentral:rRNA from 1 species
GCUUGGAAUACUUUCGGGAACCCGAAGCUAAUACCGGAUAACAUUUGGAACCGCAUGGUUCUAAAGUGAAAGAUGGUUUUGCUAUCACUUAUAGAUGGACCCGCGCCGUAUUAGCUAGUUGGUAAGGUAACGGCUUACCAAGGCAACGAUACGUAGCCGACCUGAGAGGGUGAUCGGCCACACUGGAACUGAGACACGGUCCAGACUCCUACGGGAGGCAGCAGUAGGGAAUCUUCCGCAAUGGGCGAAAGCCUGACGGAGCAACGCCGCGUGAGUGAUGAAGGGUUUCGGCUCGUAAAACUCUGUUAUUAGGGAAGAACAAAUGUGUAAGUAACUGUGCACGUCUUGACGGUACCUAAUCAGAAAGCCACGGCUAA